AAUUAUCAACCUUGCUCGCUUUUACCGGCUUGAGCUGAGGCUUGGACGUGGGGGUUGCUGGCUUCCUUCAGUGGAUGGUCUGCUCUCCUUAAAUGCAUUAGCGGAAUCUCUUGUGGACCGUCACUCGGUGUGAUAAUUAUCUAUACCGCAUGGCCUUGAAGCAAACUUAUGGGACUCAGCUUAUAACCGUCUUCUUUACUGAGACAAUUUUUAAUAACA
rnacentral:misc_RNA from 1 species